GGCCCCAUGGUCUAGCGGCCUACGACUCCGGCUUCUCAGGUCGGCACCGCGGGUUCGAAUCCCGCUGGGGUUA
rnacentral:tRNA from 2 species